ACGAGUGAGUAACACGUGAGUAACCUGUCCCCGGGUCUGGGAUAACUACCCGAAAGGGUAGCUAAUACCGGAUAAAGUCACCGGACGCAAGUUCGGUGAUGAAAGGGGGCCUCUGCAUAGCAAGCUCCUGCCUGGGGAGGGGCUCGCGGCCCAUCAGCUAGUUGGUGGGGUAACGGCCCACCAAGGCGACGACGGGUAGCCGGCCUGAGAGGGUGGUCGGCCACGCGGGCACUGAGACACGGGCCCGACUCCUACGGGAGGCAGCAGGGGGGAAUCUUGGGCAAUGGGCGAAAGCCUGACCCAGCGACGCCGCGUGGGGGAAGAAGGCCUUCGGGUCGUAAACCCCUGUUCUGGAGGAAGAACCCAGGAUAGGUGAAUAACCUAUCCUGGCUGACGGUACUCCAGGAGAAAGCCACGGCUAACUGCGUGCCAGCAGCCGCGGUAAUACGCAGGUGGCGAGCGUUGCCCGGAAUUACUGGGCGUAAAGGGUGCGUAGGCGGCCGGACAAGUCAUAGGUUAAAGCCCGGAGCUCAACUCCGGAAAGGCCUAUGAUACUGUCUGGCUUGAGGGCCGGAGAGGCUGGCGGAAUUCCCGGUGUAGGGGUGAAAUCCGUAGAUAUCGGGAGGAACACCGGUGGGGAAGCCGGCCAGCUGGACGGUUCCUGACGCUGAGGCACGAAAGCGUGGGGAGCAAACCGGAUUAGAUACCCGGGUAGUCCACGCCGUAAACGAUGGGCGCUAGGUGUGGGGGUGAAAGCCUCUGUGCCGUAGCUAACGCGUUAAGCGCCCCGCCUGGGGAGUACGGCCGCAAGGCUGAAACUCAAAGGAAUUGACGGGGGCCCGCACAAGCGGUGGAGCACGUGGUUUAAUUCGAUGCAAAGCGAAGAACCUUACCUGGGCUUGACAUGCUAGGGUUGUACCCUGGUGGAAACACCGGGGGAGCGUAGGGGUUAUCUCUACGCGCUCUAGCACAGGUGCUGCACGGCUGUCGUCAGCUCGUGUCGUGAGAUGUUGGGUUAAGUCCCGCAACGAGCGCAACCCCUGCCCUUAGUUGCCAUCGGUUCGGCCGGGCACUCUAAGGGGACUGCCGGGGAUAACCCGGAGGAAGGAGGGGAUGACGUCAAGUCCUCAUGGCCCUUAUGCCCAGGGCUACACACGUGCUACAAUGGGGGGUACAGAGGGUUGCGAACCCGCAAGGGGGAGCUAAUCCCAGAAAGCCCUCCUCAGUUCGGAUCGGGGUCUGCAACUCGA
rnacentral:rRNA from 1 species